GUAGCUUAACAUGCAGUCGUGCGGUAACAGACAUAAAGAUUUAGCUUGCUAAAUCCGGUGCUGACGAGCGGCGAACGGGUGAGUAACACGUAGGAAUCUACCCAGUAGCGGGGGAUAGCCCAGGGAAACUUGGAUUAAUACCGCAUACGCCCUAAGGGGAAAAGAAGGCCUCUCUUUGAAGCUUUCACUAUUGGAUGAGCCUGCGUAAGAUUAGCUUGUUGGUGGGGUAAAGGCCUACCAAGGCAACGAUCUUUAGCUGGUCUGAGAGGACGAUCAGCCACAUUGGGACUGAGACACGGCCCAGACUUCUACGGAAGGCAGCAGUUAGGAAUAUUGGACAAUGGGGGCAACCCUGAUCCAGCUAUACCGCGUGUGUGAAGAAGGCCCUAGGGUUGUAAAGCACUUUAAGCAGGGAAGAAGCAUACUAAGUUAAUACCUUAAUAUGUUGACGUUACCUGAAGAAUAAGGACCGGCUAACUCCGUGCCAGCAGCCGCGGUAAUACGGAGGGUCCAAGCGUUAAUCGGAAUUACUGGGCGUAAAGCGCGCGUAGGUGGUUUAUUAAGUUGGAUGUGAAAUCCCCGGGCUCAACCUGGGAACUGCAUCCAAAACUGAUUCACUAGAGUACGAUAGAGGGAGGUAGAAUUCACAGUGUAGCGGUGGAAUGCGUAGAUAUUGUGAAGAAUACCAAUGGCGAAGGCAGCCUCCUGGAUCUGUACUGACACUGAGGUGCGAAAGCGUGGGUAGCGAACAGGAUUAGAUACCCUGGUAGUCCACGCCGUAAACGAUGUCAACUAGCUGUUGGAAAGCAUUGCUUUUCAGUGGCGCAGCUAACGUAGUAAGUUGACCGCCUGGGGAGUACGGCCGCAAGGUUAAAACUCAAAUGAAUUGACGGGGACCCGCACAAGCGGUGGAGCAUGUGGUUUAAUUCGAUGCAACGCGAAAAACCUUACCUACUCUUGACAUACUUGGGAGGCUCUUGUAAUGAGAGUGUGCCUUUUGGAACCAAGAUAC
rnacentral:rRNA from 1 species